UCCUCAGAUGUCUUCUCUACAGAAGGACGGAGCUCAAAUGAACUUAUGGAUUGGAGAUAGCAGAGGAGGAGGAGGAGGAGAUGUGUGUACCCUCCAGCCCGUGUGUGGAGCUGCCAAAGCCAGUUGCUCAGGCCAAGGGUGAGCCCAGAGCUCACGUGGAGCAGUUGGCCGGCCAGGAGGCUCCCAGCCCCCAGGAGCUGGAGCAGCUGAAGCUGCCACAUAGUCAUCCUGAGGACAGGCCCAGGAGAGUGAGGAGGCUCAAAGAAUGAGGAGGAGCACAUGGAGAAAGAGAAGCUGCCCAGAGAGGCUGAGGAAGAACACCAGAAGAGUCUGAGAAUGUUGGAGGAGUCUGAGGAAAAACAUCAUCAAAGGAGGAGAAAGUUGAGGAGGAGGCAGAGGCCAAGGAGGAGGAGAAGGAAGAUAUGGUGUUGAUGCUGGUGGGGGAGGUGGUGGUGGAAAAGAAUUCAGUGGAGCAGGGGGUGGAGGAGGAGAAAAUAUUGGAAGAGGAUGAGGUGGAAGAGGAAGUGGUGAUGCGGAUGGACAUGGAGAAAGAGGAGGAAAAAGAGGAGGAGGAUGAACAACAGGAGGAGGAGCAGGAGAAGGAGGUCGAGAAGAAGGAGGAGGAACGCAGACACCAAGAAGCUGGAGCAUCCCGAGCAGCUGAAGGAGUCUGUUGAGACCCAGGACCCGUGCACAGAGGUGCAGCAGUGUCCUUCUGAGGAGCCCUGCAGGCAGGUGGGUGAUGAAUAGUCUUUGAGGGAGCACCCGGGAUCCUGGUGGUGCCCCACUUUCUUUGGGAAGCUCCUGUGGGGUCUGGAGGGUGAUUUGUUCUGUACCCCGUUGAGAAUUGUUCUCAAGCCUCUCCACUAACUCAGUGCCUGAAGUAUCAGGAUUGUUCGAAGUGCUAA